rnacentral:rRNA from 1 species
AACGAACGCUGGCGGCAGGCCUAACACAUGCAAGCCGAACGCCGUAGCAAUACGGAGUGGCAGACGGGUGAGUAACGCGUGGGAACAUGCCCUUCGGUUCGGAAUAACUCAGGGAAACUUGAGCUAAUACCGGAUACGUCCAAGGCUUGCCUUGGAGAACGAUUUAUCGCCGGAGAAUUGGCCCGCGUCUGAUUAGCUGGUUGGUGGGGUAAUGGCUCCCCAAGGCGACGAUCAGUAGCUGGUCUGAGAGGAUGAUCAGCCACAUUGGGACUGAGACACGGCCCAAACUCCUACGGGAGGCAGCAGUGGGGAAUAUUGGACAAUGGGCGCAAGCGUGAUCCAGCCAUGCCGCGUGAGUGAUGAAGGCCCUAGGGUUGUAAAGCUCUUUUGCCCGGGAAGAUAAUGACGGUACCGGGAGAAUAAGCCCCGGCUAACUUCGUGCCAGCAGCCGCCGUAA